rnacentral:rRNA from 1 species
GAUGAACGCUGGCGGCGUGCCUAAUACAUGCAAGUCGAGCGAACAGACGAGGAGCUUGCUCCUCUGACGUUAGCGACGGGCGGGUGAGUAACACGUGGAUAACCUUCCUAUAAGACUGGGAUAACUUCGGGAGACCGGAGCUCAUACUGGAUAAUAUAUUGAACCGCAUGGUUCAGGAGUGAAUGACGGUUUUGGUGUCGCUUCUAGACGGAUCCGCGCCGCAUUGGCGCGUUGGUAAGGUAACGGCUUGCCAAGGCAACGAUGCGUAGCCGACCUGCGAGGGUGAUCGGCCACACUGGAACUGAGACACGGUCCAGACUCCUACGGGAGGCAGCAGUAGGGAAUCUUGGGCAAUGGGCGCAAGCCUGACCGAGCGAUGCCGCGUGAGUGAAGAAGGUCUUCGGGUCGUAAAACCCUUUUAUUGGGGAAGAACAAAUGCGUAAGUAACGACGCAUGUCUUGACGGUACCUAAUCAAAAAGCACCGGCUAACUACGUG